rnacentral:rRNA from 1 species
ACUCAAAGGAAUAGACGGGGACCCGCACAAGAGGUGGAGUAUGUGGUUUAAUUCGACGCUACGCGAAGAACCUUACCUGGGCUCGAACGACUUGUAGUAAUCUUUAUGAAAGUAGAGAUGAUUCGCAAGAAAGCAAGCCGAGGUGCUGCAUGGUUGUCGUCAGCUCGUGUCGUGAGAUGUUGGGUUAAGUCCCGCAACGAGCGCAACCCCUAUCCUGUGUUGCCCAGCAAUGGGCUCUCUCAGGAGACUGCCGCGGAUAACGUGGAGGAAGGUGGGGAUGACGUCAAAUCAUCAUGGCCUUUAUGUCCAGGGCUACACACGUACUACAAUGGCGCACACAGAGGGCAGCAAAGCCGCGAGGCGGAGCCAAUCCCUAAAUUGCGCCCCAGUUCAGAUUGCAGGCUGAAAUUCGCCUGCAUGAAGCCGGAAUCUCUAGUAAUCGCAGAUCAGCACGCUGCGGUGAAUACGUUCCCGGGUCUUGUACACACCGCCCGU